rnacentral:lncRNA from 1 species
CUGUAGAUGCUUCCGGUCUUGCAAAAUGUGGACUUGCUUCAGAAACCACAGCACGUGAUAGGCCGGUAUCUUACAUGAUUUCACUAAACCGACUGGGAAAAGGCACCAGGGUCAGGAGUGCCCUAAGGAACAGAUGAAUGAGAGAAGUAGAAUACGUGCACCAGAAGCUGCGUUUCUGCACAGGACCCUUCCACCCCAGCCCUGUUCAAACAAACGUCAGCUCUGUCAAAGGAGUGGGUUCUGUCAGGGCUGACGGCCCCUGAACCCAGCUUCAGUUCCCUGGCCAGCUUCCAGCAGACUUCCACAUUUCCUUUCCCCGCUUUUCUGUGUAUCCAUGGAGAACUCCCCACGCCCCUUCACUGG